rnacentral:rRNA from 1 species
GACGAACGCUGGCGGCGUGCUUAACACAUGCAAGUCGAACGGAAAGGCCCUGCUUUUGUGGGGUGCUCGAGUGGCGAACGGGUGAGUAACACGUGAGUAACCUGCCCUUGACUUUGGGAUAACUUCAGGAAACUGGGGCUAAUACCGGAUAGGAGCUCCUGCUGCAUGGUGGGGGUCGGAAAGUUUCGGCGGUUGGGGAUGGGCUCGCGGCUUAUCAGCUUGUUGGUGGGGUAGUGGCUUACCAAGGCUUUGACGGGUAGCCGGCCUGAGAGGGGGACCGGCCACAUUGGGACUGAGAUACGGCCCAGACUCCUACGGGAGGCAGCAGUGGGGAAUAUUGCACAAUGGGCGGAAGCCUGAUGCAGCAACGCCGCGUGCGGGAUGACGGCCUUCGGGUUGUAAACCGCUUUCGCCUGUGACGAAGCGUGAGUGACGGUAAUGUGUAAAGAAGCACCGGCUAACUACGUG